AAUGGACGAAAGUCUGACGGAGCAACGCCGCGUGAGUGAUGAAGGUUUUCGGAUCGUAAAACUCUGUUGUUAGGGAAGAACAAGUACCGUUCGAAUAGGGCGGUACCUUGACGGUACCUACCAGAAAGCCACGGCUAACUACGUGCCAGCAGCCGCGGUAAUACGUAGGUGGCAAGCGUUGUCCGGAAUUAUUGGGCGUAAAGCGCGCGCAGGCGGUUUCUUAAGUCUGAUGUGAAAGCCCCCGGCUCAACCGGGGAGGGUCAUUGGAAACUGGGGAACUUGAGUGCAGAAGAGGAGAGUGGAAUUCCACGUGUAGCGGUGAAAUGCGUAUAGAUGUGGAGGAACACCAGUGGCGAAGGCGACUCUCUGGUCUGUAACUGACGCUGAGGCGCGAAAGCGUGGGGAGCGAACAGGAUUAGAUACCCUGGUAGUCCACGCCGUAAACGAUGAGUGCUAAGUGUUAGAAGGUUUCCGCCCUUUAAUGCUGCAGCAAACGCAAU
rnacentral:rRNA from 1 species